rnacentral:rRNA from 1 species
AGAUGGCGACCGGCGCACGGGUGAGUAACACGUAUCCAACCUGCCGAUAACUCGGGGAUAGCCUUUCGAAAGAAAGAUUAAUACCCGAUGGCAUAAUAGAACCGCAUGGUUUGAUUAUUAAAGAAUUUCGGUUAUCGAUGGGGAUGCGUUCCAUUAGGCAGUUGGUGGGGUAACGGCCCACCAAACCUUCGAUGGAUAGGGGUUCUGAGAGGAAGGUCCCCCACAUUGGAACUGAGACACGGCCAA